CGCGUAGGCGGUCUUGUCGGUCAGAUGUGAAAGCCCAGGGCUCAACCCUGGACGUGCAUUUGAAACAGCAAGACCUGAGUACGGGAGAGGAAAGCGGAAUUCCUGGUGUAGAGGUGAAAUUCGUAGAUAUCAGGAGGAACACCGAUGGCGAAGGCAGCUUUCUGGACCGAUACUGACGCUGAGGCGCGAAGGCGUGGGUAGCGAACAGGAUUAGAUACCCUGGUAGUCC
rnacentral:rRNA from 1 species